rnacentral:rRNA from 1 species
AUGCAAAAAGAAGCAUCUGGUCAGCUGAAGGGCAUCCGUAAUGGCAGAAAUGGACCGCCUAUUUCCCAUUUACUGUUCGCCGAUGAUAGUGUGUUCUUCACCAGGGGAGAUAAUAGAAGCACCAAUGCACUUAAAUCGGUACUGCAAAGCUACUGUGAGGGAUCAGGACAGAGGAUAAACCUUCAGAAAUCUUCUAUUUUCUUUGGUUUACACUGUGAUGUACAGAUCAAGGAUUUUGUGAAGCAAACUUUGGGGGUGCAAGAUGAGACACUGCAAACAACAUACCUUGGCAUGCCGACCUGGGUUGGACGGUCCCCAACGAGUAACUUUAAUUUCCUCCCUGGUCGGAUAUGGAAACGCCUCAACGGGUGUAGUGAUCGACCUUUGUCAAGGGCUAGUAAGGAGGUUCUGUUGAAGUCAGUGGCUCAGGCCAUUCCAACGUAUGUCAUGAGUUGCUUCCAGAUUCCAUUAAGUAUAUGUGAGAAGAUGAGACAACCAAUAUCUAAUUUCUGGUGGGGUAUUGAAGAUGGAAAGAAAAAGUUACAUUGGAGAUCAUGGAAUUGGUUA